rnacentral:SRP_RNA from 1 species
CCGUGCUAUGCGGGGAGCCAGCGGUGCCCUAUACCCACAAUCCGCUAUAGUGGGGCAGAAUGCUUUUCUCGGCUUGCGUUAUGGAAGGCUGAGCGGCGCAAGGAAUGUUGAUCCCGGUGUCUUGUGCAACGAUAACCUGUGAACCGUGUCAGGACCUGACGGUAGCAGCACUAAGCGGCGUCUGUCGUGUGCCAUAAGGUUGCUUCGGAGUAGUCACCUACGUUCGCGUCCGCUUCGGUAGCGUCUGACAAAAAAAGCUGCACGG